UACGUAGGGUGCGAGCGUUAAUCGGAAUUACUGGGCGUAAAGCGUGCGCAGGCUGUUCUGUAAGUCAGAUGUGAAAUCCCCGAGCUCAACUUGGGAACUGCGUUUGAAACUACAGGACUAGAAUAUGUCGAGAGGGGGGUAGAAUUCCACGUGUAGCAGUGAAAUGCGUAGAGAUGUGGAGGAAUACCAAUGGCGAAGGCCAGCCCCCUGGGAUAAUAUUGACGCUCAUGCACGAAAGCGUGGGGAGCAAACAGG
rnacentral:rRNA from 1 species